rfam:Picea glauca, whole genome shotgun sequence.
ACAUCCAUGGUUGAAUGGUUGAAGCGCCCAACUCAUCAUUGGUGAACUCGCUCACGGGUUCAACUCCUGUUGGAUGCA